AAAACAUAUGAUGAGAUAUUUCUUUAUAACUCUAAAUUGUCUAUAUAACAUACACACAAGUGUCAUUUUUGCAAUUUUGCAGUCACCCAAACACACAGAAUGACAAAACAAAGACCUCUGGUAUAUAAUCAAUGGUGUUUUUUUUUCAUAAAGGCUUCCAAUAUUUUACUUAGGCUUUUCAGUAUUAUACUUAGUUGUGAAACCAGCAUUUAAUUUUUAAACCAUGCCAAGCCUUUUGGAUGACUUUUUCUAUUUUGGUACAUGAUUGGUGUUAAUAUAUUUUUGGCCAUGUGGAGUUCCUGGACAUUUGGUAGAAUUUUGUUACACAGAAUAACCCAGAUACAUAACUAUGCUAAACAUUUUAUUUCAGCAGAAAGUACAUCGGUGAGCAUGCACUGCUGUUUGAUCGCUACAUACAACCUCUGAUUAUUCAGAAACAGAGAUUUACGAGGUUUCAGCUUUCAAGACUCCAUCAGUCUGGACACUCCGUUCAACCCAGAUAGCCGAGGAAUCACCAGAGCGGGUGCUCUUCAUUGUCAUUGGGUUUGAUCAUUUUAAAUACACAGGUCAAUAGCCAGUAUCAGUAUUGGAGAGCCCCUCCUGAGGUCAUUCUCUGUGCCCUGUAAGGGACACAUCUUGAGAGAGUCAUGCCUUCUCGUCACCAUCAGAACGUUCUGAAGGAACAUCAGAGUUUCAUUAAGAUUGUUGGCUUCUGAGAAGGCAGUGGAGGAGUACUUCAAAAAGUUCUUCCAGAAUGACAGACUAUUCAGGAAAGGGUACGAGUAUGUGAGAGCAAAUGAGGCUCUCCUCACGGCCUGCUCCAUUCCUGUCAUCUGCUGGACAGCAGACUGCCACGUCUAUAAAUGUUGACUUCCUGUGCACUGAACUAGAGCAUCACAGCUUCAAUUGUGGUCUGUUGAAUGAUGAAGUGAGAUGCACACUUUAGAAGAGACAUGGUUUGUUAUUUCAUUCAAACAUAAAAGAAGAAAUGGAUCUUUGAAAAGAUGUGCAAUUCAUUCUCGCAGAAGACACUCUCUGUAUGAGCGCCAUGAAGCAGAUUUUGUUAAAGAAGUUGCAGAAGCCUGGCCCAGUUUAUAUAUAACACAUUUCUAAGAAAAACAGACUGCUGUGCCGUGUUGUACUGUGCUCAGUGCUGCCGGUGUAUUAAACGAUUGUUCAUUGGUUUCUGUGAAUUAAUAUCUGAAAUGCUGGCUAUCGUUCAGACUGUAUGUUUUUUACAUUGCGGGAUGGACCUGCCUGUUAUUUCCACUCUCAGAGUUUGCCAGCAUCGACUAGAACUUUUUUGAACAGUUCUCCAAUUGGGCAAAGAUAUACCACUGAAUAUUCUGAAAAAAGCCUGUGCUUCAGUCAAUUCAUUGACCUGGAACUGUCCCAGUCUAAGACAAAUCAGGUAAAAGAAAGACCACGGCAGCCAUUAUUGCAUGGAUUUAGGCUGAGACUAGCAAAGCCUUACUUUCAGCUGUACAGCCCUCAUUUACAACAUUGUAGUGGCGGAAGUAUUCAGACAAACUGAAACCAAGCUAAGUGUACCAUACCAUAUACAGACUGUAAAAUGAGUUUAUACUUCAACUUAAAAGCUCAGUGGUUACUGGAGGAAGUAGAAAGUGUCUUGAAGAAGGCCUGCAAGGUUUUGUACUAAUUAAUCAACACAUAUUUCUUAUCUUUCUAACCAUAAAUGAUGCUUCCAAUACAGAAAUAUAAACUACAGGCGCAUUGCAAACAAAAUUGCUUUGCAAAUGCACCAGGCAGAAAAUUAGUCUACAGGAUCAAAACAAACCUAAUUUAUUUUCAGUACAUCUGCAGGAGGCCUAUAUUCCUUUGGAACACCUUUAGCACUUUCUUACCUCUCCAGGUGCUGUUGUGCAAGCCAUAUGAUUCAGUUAGUGGCGUUUCUUUGGGAAGGGAGACAAGGAGGAGAGAAGAAAUUGUGACUGCGUGCUGUUGAAGAGGACCAGAAGGAGAGCUGCCUCCCUGUUACGUCUUAUUUUAAGAAGUGUCUACAAAAUAAAAGGUCUCUUUAAAGCAACUUUCAUUUUCAAAGUCAUUCUGGUGAGACUUACAAGAAGCGUCUUACGAACUGGAAGUCUCGCCUGUAGGUUUUCUUCUGUGUUGAGAAAAA